UGAACGCUAGCGGCAGGCUUAAUACAUGCAAGUCGUGGGGCAGCAUGAGUAGCAAUACUUGAUGGCGACCGGCAAACGGGUGAGGAACACGUACACAACCUUCCUUCAAGCGGGGAAUAGCCCAGAGAAAUUUGGAUUAAUACCCCAUAAUAUAUUUGAUAAGGCAUCUUAUUAAUAUUAAAGCUUCGGCACUUGAUGAUGGGUGUGCGGCUGAUUAGAUAGUUGGCGGGGUAACGGCCCACCAAGUCUACGAUCAGUAGCUGAUGUGAGAGCAUGAUCAGCCACACGGGCACUGAGACACGGGCCCGACUCCUACGGGAGGCAGCAGUAAGGAAUAUUGGACAAUGGACGAAAGUCUGAUCCAGCCAUGCCCGCGUGAAGGAUUAAGGUCCUCUGGAUUGUAAACUUCUUUAUAUGGGACGAAAAAAGGGCAUUCUUGUUCACUUGACGGUACCAUAUGAAUAAGCACCGGCUAACUCCGUG
rnacentral:rRNA from 1 species